UCCUACUGCUUCAAUUUAAAAUGACUGAUCUCAGAAGCUAAGCAGGGUUGGGCCUCGUUAGUACUUGGAUGGGAGACCACCUAGGAAGACCAGGUGCUGUAGGUG
rnacentral:rRNA from 1 species